CAUUUACACGACCCAAACCAAAUAAGAAAGGGAUUAAAAGAAUUGGGCGAUGAGGGGAAUAUGUGGGUUUAUAAAGCCUCCCCUUUAUGCUGCAACUAGACAGCAACAGAAACAACGUGCAAACGCACCUGGAGCAGCAAACAAACAACAAAAAAGGAGCUUGUCCUUUAGGUUAAAGAAGAAGAGAAAAAGGGGAAUUCUAUUGGGUUCAAGAGAAUGCAGGUGACGGUAAGGAUUACGCUAGCUAGAGAGCUCGAGGUACAUAUUCCUGGUGAUCCCGACAUUUGUUCGCGUGGGCAUGAGUUUAUUUAUUAGUUAUGUUUUGUUCCUUCAAAAUUCUUAAGUCGCUCCAUAGUUAUGUCUUUAGAGUUUUGAGUAUUCUUUCGUUAUUUUGGACUUGUGAAGUAUUGAACUUCCUCUCAUGUUUUGGA